rnacentral:rRNA from 1 species
AAAUUGAAGAGUUUGAUCAUGGCUCAGAUUGAACGCUGGCGGCAGGCCUAACACAUGCAAGUCGAGCGGCAGCGGGAAGUAGUUUACUACUUUGCCGGCGAGCGGCGGACGGGUGAGUAAUGUCUGGGAAACUGCCUGAUGGAGGGGGAUAACUACUGGAAACGGUAGCUAAUACCGCAUAACGUCUUCGGACCAAAGUGGGGGACCUUCGGGCCUCACGCCAUCGGAUGUGCCCAGAUGGGAUUAGCUAGUAGGUGGGGUAAUGGCUCACCUAGGCGACGAUCCCUAGCUGGUCUGAGAGGAUGACCAGCCACACUGGAACUGAG